rnacentral:rRNA from 1 species
AUUGAACGCUGGCGGCAUGCCUUACACAUGCAAGUCGAACGGCAGCGGGGGAGAAGCUUGCUUUUCCUGCCGGCGAGUGGCGAACGGGUGAGUAAUACAUCGGAACGUGCCCUGUAGUGGGGGAUAACUAGUCGAAAGAUUAGCUAAUACCGCAUACGACCUGAGGGUGAAAGUGGGGGACCGCAAGGCCUCAUGCUAUAGGAGCGGCCGAUGUCUGAUUAGCUAGUUGGUGGGGUAAGGGCCUACCAAGGCGACGAUCAGUAGCUGGUCUGAGAGGACGAUCAGCCACACUGGGACUGAGACACGGCCCAGACUCCUACGGGAGGCAGCAGCGGGGAAUUUUGGACAAUGGGCGAAAGCCUGAUCCAGCAAUGCCGCGUGUGUGAAGAAGGCCUUCGGGUUGUAAAGCACUUUUGUCCGGAAAGAAAUGGCUCUGGUUAAUACCUGGGGUCGAUGACGGUACCGGAAGAAUAAGGACCGGCUAACUACGUGCCAGCCGCCGCCGUAA